rnacentral:rRNA from 1 species
CGGUGAACGGAUGUAAGCGGGAAACUUGCCUCAGGAGGAGAUCUCACUUGAGCCUUGAGCUCCCGGAAGGGCCGUCGAAGACUACGACGUUGAUAGGUGGGUGGUGUAAGCGCUGUGAGGCGUUGAGCUAACCCAUACUAAUUGCCCGUGAGGCUUGGCCAUAUAACACCCAAACA